UUAUUUCGCCGUAAAGUCGUGUUUUAUA
rnacentral:sRNA from 1 species